AUUGAACGCUGGCGGCAUGCCUUACACAUGCAAGUCGAACGGUAACAGGUCUUCGGAUGCUGACGAGUGGCGAACGGGUGAGUAAUACAUCGGAACGUGCCCGAGAGUGGGGGAUAACGAGGCGAAAGCUUUGCUAAUACCGCAUACGAUCUCAGGAUGAAAGCAGGGGACCGCAAGGCCUUGCGCUCACGGAGCGGCCGAUGGCAGAUUCGGUAGUUGGGGGGAUAAAAGCUUACCAAGCCGACGAUCUGUAGCUGGUCUGAGAGGACGACCAGCCAGACUGGGACUGAGACACGGCCGAGACUCAUACGGGAGGCAGCAGUGGGGAAUUUUGGACAAUGGGCGCAAGCCUGAUCCAGCCAUGCCGCGUGCAGGAUGAAGGCCUUCGGGUUGUAAACUGCUUUUGUACGGAACGAAAAGACUCUGGUUAAUACCUGGGGUCCAUGACGGUACCGUAAGAAUAAGCACCGGCUAACUACGUGCCAGCAGCCGCGGUAAUAC
rnacentral:rRNA from 1 species